rnacentral:lncRNA from 1 species
AAGAGCCUCCUGCCGUGCGCCUCGUCCACCGUCACGUACCCGGCGUAGUGCUUCGACGGCAGCGCGCCGCUGCCCGCCGUGUACCCCGGGACGCUCGUCACCAGUGCACCCGGCGGCGCGGCGUGGCAGCAGCGAGCGAAAAAGGCCGAGGACACCACUACUACCACCAGCAGCAGCAGCAGCGGCGGGAGGGGUGGAGGAGCCGCGGUAGAGCCGCCGCGUGCCAUUGCUGCGAGAGUGUGUGGGAGCUCGGUGCGCGCGGAGCUAGGAGUGACGACUCCGUGCCCUGACCGGAAUGGAUGGAGCGCGUUUAAAUACAGAAGAUGAGCUGCCGGCCGGCUGCGACGUGUAUGUAGAGAGUGUGUUAAGGAAUGGUGACGUUGACGACAAAGCCGGCGGCGCCCGGCGGUUGUGUUGUGUCAGUGUGUUCGAUAUCGUACGUCAGUGUGUGUGUGUGUGUGUUGGAAUUCUCACCGUCUCAGCCUACCCACUAAGACUUGAGUCACCCAAUGCAAGUCGGCCGGGCCACGCCAGGAUAUGUUGACCAGGUGACGGAUUUUGCAAAAGGAGAAGCGAGUCAGUUGAUGUUUUCCAACACCAUCCAUGUGUAUGACGGUAUAUAAUAUGGUCUGUGCUUCUCUCGCAAGGUUUCAUAUAUAUAUAUAUAUAUAUAUAUAUAUAUAUAUAUAUAUAUAUAUAUAUAUAUAUAUAUAUAUGUUAUCUCUUCUCCUGUCGAUGCAUGGCAUAAUAUUCUCCGGCGAGCUGAGAUUAAGUAUGGAGCUGAGAUGAUGUCAUUCCGGAAGACGCCAAGUUCCACUACAACCCUAGAUUGGAAUUGAAUAGUGCAAACAAGAACGAACACUUGUAGAAGCUUUGAGUGUAGGGCAAACAUUUGUACAACCUUUAACCGGCGGCCGAACACUUGAUUACUUGUAUAUUAUUGUAAAUGUAAUGUGUAUGUACGUAUAUGUAUAGCUCUAUAAUAUAUAUAUAUAUAUAUAUAUAUAUAUAUAUAUAUAUAUAUAUAUAUAUAUAUAUAUAUAUACAUGAUAGUUUCAUACUUUAUUUGUGUGUGCAAUAAUAACGCUCUAGUAUAGGUGUAACGUAUACGAUAAUAGCAGUGAAGAAUAAAUUGGAAAACAAUAUAAUUGAAAACCAAAAUAAAAAAUGAAUUGAAAAGAAAAAGAAAAAAAAUUUAGUCCCGGUUUGUAAUACCAACCGGGACUAAAAGGGGCUGCGCCACGUCAGUUAGUGGCAUGCCCUUUUGUUCCGGUUGGUAAUACCAACCGGGACUAAAUAUCCCCUUUAGUACCGCAUCUGUGAACCAGGACUAAAAGUGGGACAUUUAGUCUUGAAACCUUUGUCCCGGCUCGCAGCCCAGGACUAAAGGCCUGUUUCAACUUUCAGUGGUAGGAAUAAUCAGGGUUUAGAACUGCCGGUGCCCGGCGGAGAACAAACAGUGUGAGCAGCAGGAAUAAUCAGGGUUUAGAGGUGCCUGUUCCCUUGAGCUUAUCUGCUGAUGAAUGUGUCAGCAGUGUUUUUCUCUUAUAAUAAAUCUGCGAACAAUACUUCCAGUCAUAACUUAUGAGUGAAACAAACAAUAGAUGGCCGGCAGCGAGAGGUCAAUUAAGUGACGCCCAUCCCAAUGAGUGGGUUGAUGACAGCUGCGAGAGUGGAUGCAGGCUCGAGAUCCGGCAACGUCUAUCGACCGCUGGAGAGAUACGAUAUGAAGAUAGGCCGAUACGGCAUGGCCAUGACGCGAAGCAAAGAUAGUGGUUAUGCACCGUGCAACAAGCAGCAAGCUAAGAUAUCAUAUGGACGGGUCGGAUGUGGGAGGAGUGGUGUGGUGUUAGUAGUGGCCACGGUGCACCAGCAACACACCAUAUGGCCGGUGAGUGUGUGUGUGUGUGAGGAGGGCAGGAAAAGGGGCACUCGUGGUGUCUAAUAAUAUCUGUAUAUGCAUGGGUGAUGGAUGGAUAUUGAAAGUUUUUUUCGCUCAAGUGGAUCGGAUCAAAUGGGAAUCGUUAUCACGGGUGCAAGUGUAGCAAUUAAUGUAAAGAUUGACCACUUUUUCCAAAUAAAGAAAGAGCUUUGUCAAGGAGACCUAGGCCUGUUAAUCUACUCUUUUGUUCAACAUUGUUGCUGACAUGCAUAUUAAUGAUCCUUAUAAAUACAGCCAAAAGAAGAACGGUAGUUAAUUGGCCUUGUUUAGUUCAAAAAAUUUUAGAAAAUUGACACCGUAGCACUUUCGUUUGUAUUUGACAAAUAUUGUUCCAAUCAUGGACUAACUAGGCUCAAAAGAUUUGUCUCGUCAAAUUCAACCAAACUGUGCAAUUAGUUUUUAUUUUCGUAUAUAUUUAAUACUCCAUGCAUACGUCUAAAGAUUCGAUGUGACGGAAAAUCUGAAAAAUUUUGCAAAAUUUUUUAGAAACUAAACAAGGCCUAAGGCUAGAUUAAAAACAACUACCAUCAACCCAUAUCCACAAACCCUAGGCCAACCUCCAGUCUCUUAUUAUACCCCCUUCAUGACACACAAUCUCUCUCUCUCUCCUCAGCCAUUGAUGCCCUUCUGGCCUUCUUCACCUGCUAUGGUUCCUCACACUAGUACAUAGAAGCUCUAUACAGCGUGGUUCCUAACCUAUUUGCACAGUCAUUUUUUAAACCGCCAGUGCUAGAGGCUAGUGGAAAUAAAUCUUUCCACGGGCGGUUAACUGCCUGUGGAAAACGAUUUUCACAUGCGGUUCAGUUAUGUCAACCGCUUGUGCAAAUGCUUGUACAGAAAAUAUAAAUUGGGUUUUAAAAAUAGGAAAAAAAAAAUUGUAGGAAAGGUCUGAAGCGUCAAGUUGCGCAUUUUUCGCGUAAAAUCAUGUCCUACACGGCUGGCGAAAUUCGAACCCACGACCUCCCCAACGCGCGUAGUCUCCUCUACCACUCCACCGAUCACUCACUUGUGUCUAUAUUAGAGUUUAGUUUCUCACAUAUUAUCCUAAAUCAAGCAUACAUUGAUUUGUUGAGGCCCUAAAUGAAUUCAAAUGAAAAAGUUGUCAACUAUAAAGUUUCAUAAAUUUUCAAGAUCUAUAACUUUUAUAAUAGUAGUUUCUCCAUCCAAGGUUAUUUACAAAAUUUGAAUUUCAAAUUUGAUAAAUUUGAAUGUAGUUUUUGAUGAUAUAUGAUUUCAAAUGAAAAUGUUAUCAGCUACAAAGGUUCACAACUUCUCGAGAUCUACAACUUUUAUUUUGAUGGUUUUUUCAUACGAGGUCAUUUGAAAACUCAAAGAAAUCAGUUUCAAAUUAUUUCUACAAGCGGUUUUCUUAACAAACCACCACUAGAAAUCUAAUUUUUAGUGGCAGUUUCUUAAGAAAGCCGUUUACAUGAUUUCUAGUGGCGGUUUUGGUAGGAAAACCGCAUGUGCAAAUCUAUUUUCACUGGCGGUUCACUUAAGAGAAUCGCUAGUGAAAAUCCACCAUUUGUACUGACGGUUUUCUCAGUGAAAAUGUGUUUCCACUGGUGGUUCUUGAGUCGGGCCCACCAAUUUAUUUUCACAGACAUUUUUAAAUUGAAACCGCCUAUAAAAAUUAUGCUCCACCGCCAGCAUAGAGCUUUUUUACUAAUGUCACACACCGACGACCAAGCUGUCGUCACCCAAACGGUGGCGGCGGCUGCCCCUUCAUCUCAUUAUCCUAGCAGCCCCACCUUUCCUCUCCUAUGGCGACUACGAGGAGCACCCUACCCUGACCCGAUGGGGACAAGGUGCAUUCAGUAGGGGAAAGGUGGAUAUGAUCACUACUUAACCACGGCAGGCAAAAACAUUUAACUGAGGCGGUUUUUACAACCGCAUCAAACAAAAGAUCACAGUUAAUCGUGGCCUUAACCGAGGCGGUUGCCCCGCUCGCCUUGGUAAAUCGAGUAAACAAAUAGAAAAACACUACUACCUAAAAAAUGAGGCGGGCAAAAAUAGCUUAACUGAGGCGUUUUGGCCAACCGCCUCGAAUCAAAGGUCACAGUUAAUAUGACAUUUUUUGAGACGGUUUGAUGCCCACCUCGGUUAAUAAAUUAAAAAAAGUGAAUAAGCCCAUCGAUGGGCCUGCCGAGCCCAUCCACACUGCUGCUGGCUAGACUCGCCAUUGCCGGCACCCUAUCGCAGAUCCACAAGUAGGGGAGGCAGGAGCGCCGCCAGCCUACUGAUCACCCGGUGGGGUAGAUCGACUGCGACACCCUGACCCUGGCUCCUUGGUCCACGUAGGAGCUCCACCUGAUCCGACAUAGAGGAGGAUAACAUGAGGGAGAAGGGGCUCCACCGGUCUGUCGCGCCCGCGCCGCUUGUCCAUCGAGCCCGUUAUGCCCACUUCGUCACACCUCGAUGACGGUUGUGGCAAAGGAGGGCGGCAUGGGGGAUAAGGGGCUUUGGCGAUCUGCUGAUGAGGUCACAGGCUCCUCCUGGCCAUCAGGGUGCGUUCUCCUGGCCGUUAGGGUCGUGAUCUCUUAGCCGCUGGCACUACUAGAGAACAGAUCUUUCGUCGAUGUGCCAAAUGAGCUUUAGUCUCGGUAUUUUUGGCGCCCGGGACAAAAGAGAUCUUUAGUCCUGGUUGGUAAAGCCAACCGGGACUAACAGUCCCUCCCCAACGGCUCCGGUGUCAGGCGCUGUCGGGGAGGAACCUUUAGUCCCGGUUGGUAACACCAACCAGGACUAAACCCUCCCCGCUAUAAAUUGAAUCUCCCUCCUCCCUUCUUCCUCUCCCUGCCCGAGCCCGAGGUCCUUUGUUCUUGCUUGUUCUUCCAUUGUUCUUGCUUGUUAUUGCUCUCAUCUCCCGCGAUCGAUCCAUUUCAACGCUUCUACGCCGUCGUCGAUUUGUUUGAAAGGUUGCUAGCUUCAUCUUCCUAUGUUUCUCACCGCCAUAUGUAAUUUCAUAUUGGACAUAUGUCUAUUUUAAUUAUUUCAUGUUUCUAUCUCUCCAAUCAUCAUCUUCUCAUGUUUGAAUUUUUUUGAACGAUGCUAAGUGUGUGCCCGCUAGAAACUAGUUUACACAAAUCAUUACUACUAUGUAUACACAAAUCAUGUUUAGUUCUAUUAUAAAUAUUAUAGGAUAUUUUUUACUUUAAUAUGGUCAUGUUCUUAUUUUAAAAUAUUAAUAAUAUAAUUUUUGUUGUAAUUGUUAAAUAAAUUGUUUUUCACUUUAAAAAUUCUUGAAAUUAAUUUUCUUUAGUGAUAAAAUUAUAGCUUCUAAUAGAAAAAUUACAGUUCCAUGAUAAUGCAACUAAUGUCACGCCAUUGGAUGUACAAUGCCGAUCGCCGCUCCAACGAGUUCAUUGAGGGCGUGCGAGAAUUCCGCAGAGUGGCAGAGCAAAAUAAGCGGGACGGUUUUAUGUGUUGUCCAUGUGCCGUGUGUAAGAAUUUUCAAACUCAAGAGAAAUGCACUUGCACUUGUUCACGAAUGGUUUCAUGCCAAACUAUAUUUGUUGGACCAAACACGGAGAGACCGGGGUUAUGAUGGAAGAAGGUGAAGAAGAGCAAGCGUACCCUGACGAUGUUUUUGCUCAAUACUGCGACUUUGCAGUAGAGGACAAAGGUGAAGAAGAUGGGGAUGCAGGAAACAGUAUCGUUGAUGAUGACGAUGCUCUUGGUGAUGUCAUUCGCGAUGUACAGAGAGAUUGCGAAAGCUACCAAUGGCAUUAAAGGCAUAAAUGUGAAACCCUAUCAAAAGGUGCCAAACAACAGAUUUCUGAUUUUUCUUAGCUUUGCAAUCACAUGAUUACAUCACUCAGCAAGUUUCAUCAUAAAAGGAGUUAUAAUUUAUUUAUUAGAAAUACCACAAUAAACUCCUUUUUAAACAAGGGAUAUUUAUAACUCUACCAAUAGGCAUCCAAAAAUCAUGAGAAAUUCACCAGAGCCUGCACAUAGCAUAAACAACCAUCUCCUAAAUUUGCAUGGUCAUAGGACUUACAGAUCUCAAGAUAUAGUUACCUUCUCUUUAUCAAGGAUUAAAUCAUAUCUAUUUAUUUCUAUAAAAACAUGGCAUGUUUCAUAUUUUUAUUAAAAACUAGACUAACUCAAGAGUGUGACAAAAUUCGAAACACUUUAUUUGGAUCUGUCUUGCUCAAGUUAUGAAUUUUCUAAAACAGCAUUGAGUCUGCCAAAAACAGAAAUAGGAGAAAAGAGGGACAGUGGCUGAAGAGGGACCCACUGGUCACUGGGAGCCGCUCGACAGUGACACAGAGACAGGGGACAGCUCGUCGCCGGUGAAACUCGACGACGGCGAGGUCUCGGCUGAAUCCAAGGGCACAAUCGUGACCCUCUCCCCAAGGCGGACCUAAUGAGGUACAAAACCCUCACUCUACCGAGCUCAAGGGGGUUCGCCGGCGUGAAUGGCGGCUCAGUGGCGCUGCGGGCGAUACGCCAGCAUGCUCAGUCGAUGCCGACCCAGUUGAAGUUCACGCCGAGCAUCAGUGAGUCAAGGGGAAGCUCUAGGAACAAAAAUGGAAGGAAAUGGUGGAGCAGAAAGGCCUGGCCACGUUGCCGAUGAGCACGGCGGAACUCCAGUGAGGAAGAAGCCGCUCGGAGCUCGGCAAUGCCGCCUUACCCGUGCUCGACAGAGGCAAUGAAGGCGACGUCGAGGUGGAGGAAGCUCUGGCGGAGCUUUUAGCGGGCUAGCUUGGCCGGAGAUGGGGAGGAGAGCUCGGGCGGAGUCACUGACUCGCGGUGGAGCUCGCCGAGGAAGAGAGCGGAGAGAAGAGAGGGCGCUGGAGAGGGAAUGGAGGCCGGCUGCCGCUCGGGGGGGCGUCGUGGUGUCCAAGUGGAGGUGUUGGGGCUGACAGGCGGGGUCGCGGUCGACGUACGGCCACCAUGGGGCUUCCACGCGUCGAUCAGCUAGUGACUGGCGAAACUGAAUCGGUUGAUUCAGUCACCGUCGACUGUGAUUGAAACCCGAUCUUCGUCGACGUUUUACUCACGAUUCACUAGGUAGUUUUUGCUCGGAUUUGUCCCAAUGGAUAGAGCUACACGAGUUCUACAAGUUUGCUUAAAGGAUCAAAGUCUGGUUUGACCUAGAAUUCAAACUACAAGGCUCCCAAGUACCCUAUCUCGAAACUGCAGAACCCAGACUUAGCCAAAUUCGCCUAAGUGUUGGAAACAACACUGAUUUCUAUCUUGCGGGCCACUUUUGGUCAGGUUCCAACCAUUUUUAUGAGAAGGUACCAAAACAACUUUUGUAGCUUACAAAAUUUAUACAACUUUGCUUUAGAGAUCAAUUAGAUGCAAGGUCUCUAACACUGGUUUCAUAAAAGAUCUUUGAAAAGAGGUUUAGGGGGUCAACUAGGUCAAACUAGGGCUAACCAUGACUUGGGGGCAUCUUUGGAUGAAACUCCCAACAUAAACUUUGUUCCAAAUGAUAUUCUAAACAUGAAUAAAGUAUUUUGGAAGACAAUGUGUACUUGUAUACAUUGGUCAUACAUUACUUUACACAUAUAACAAGCUAUCUAAGCAAUUCAAUCACAUAUUGCAUACACCAAAAUGACAUGUGAUCAUGGUAUUGUGCUCAUGAGUGAGUAUGAUGAUGCUUAUGUUGUUGAAAUGCUUAUGGUUAACAUGCAAGCUAACACUAGGAGUGUUACAGUAUAAAUAUAUGUCCACUUGUAGAAUCAUUCUUAUUCAUUCAUAUAUAUAUAUAUAUAUAUUCAUCUUUAUAUUUCUACCUAGUCCAUAAAAUGGUAGAUUCAUACUGAUAUUACUUCUAGCUUAGUUGCUAGGGAUGACAACCUAGUUUAAUGCUAUGAGGUAUAGGUUAAUAAAAGGUGACUACUCUAUUGGUGACAAGCUAAUAAUUAUCAUAACAUUUAUUUGUGUUGUUACUAAUUUAGUGAUUGCGUUAAUUAAUGUCAACAAGCAUUUUUAGCACUUUUGCUGGGGAUGUUAUAUUAACUUAGGAAGUAAUGAUAACUUUAUGUUUAUGAUGAGAUUGAUUGAUCAUUGAACCCUAAUCAAACAGACUUACACUUGUUUUGUCUACUUGUGCAUCUUAUGUAGGGAAAUGUAUGACUGGUUUUGACCUUCGGACAAACUAUGUUAAAAAUUUAGAAGCAUUAAUCAAGGGAACCAAAGCUAAACUAAAAAAAGUUUCCUCUUCAAGUUUAGAAGACAACCAUAUAAGAAGAAGCUUCACACCAGAAUUUGACACUAUAGCCAACAAAAGUCUUCGCUAUCCUCUGCUUCGACUACUGCUAACAUUCGGACAGGACCUAAAGUCAAUGUUGGAGACAAUAGAUUCGAGCUAAAGCCUGCACUCAUCACUAUGGUGCAAGCUCACCAAUUUUGUGGAAAGUCUCAUGAAGAUGCAAGUGCACACUUACAACAUUUUCUAGAGGUUCAAGUGCACCUUCACCACCAAGGGAGUAACUAUAGAUGUUAUUCUACUCUACCUUUUUUCCAUUUUCACUAUUGGGGAAAGCUAAACAUGGGUUCUAUGCUAACAAUGCAGAUGUACUCACUGAUGACGUUCGGUUAUGGUCACUAAUGACUACAUUUUGGUCACAGAGUUUCAUUUGUGACGACUUUGUGACGAUUUUGUCUUCGUCAUGUCGGUAUAACAAUCACUCUCCACUCAUUUACUUAGUUACAUACCUUGGUAGUUGUUUAGCUUAUUUAGCUUAGUCUUAUUGUUUAGGAGUGUAGAGAGCCUUUAGUUGUUCUUUCUUGUUGUGACUUAGUGUUUAGCUUUCUUGCUAGACUUAUGUAGGUGGCUUGCAUAGCUCAGUUGUGAUAGUGCUAGAAUAGCCUUGCCAUUUGUUUUACUAACACACUUGCUUAGUGAAAUUUGUAGAGUUUUAAAGAAAUUUGUAGAAUUUUAAAUAGGCUAUCCAUCCCCCCUCUAGCCGUUUGGACCUUUCACUAGCCAAUCCCCAAUAUAGUGCUCCAAGUUGUUAUCAUUUAUUCUCUUAAAGUUUUCAUUAGAGAUUGGGCUAUUUCCUGCUUAAAAAAGAGAAGAAAGAAAAAUCAAAAGAAGAAGAAAAGAGAAAGAACCCCAGUUUUCAAAAGUUCCAAAAAUGAGGGAAGUUACACUUUGUAAAGGAGCACUAUAGAAUUAUUCUUUCACCCUUUCUCCCUUCCACAAAUAUUUGUUCAUUUGAAACCACACAUGUACAUCUUGAUCUAAGGGUAUGGUCUCCCCUCCGAGGAUCCUAGUUUGACUAGGCAAUAUAUGCAAGGUAAGUAUGUCAUAUCCUUGAAAUACCCUCAGCUCCACAUAUGCCAUUAGUUAUAAGAGAGAAUAGGUAAGGCACAAUGUUUCAUUGCCUUAUGCCAAGAAUACUACAUAUCUCGAGAGGAGAGAAGGCAAAACACCAUUGUUGCCUUGGAAAGGAAUCCACAAAUACCACAAAUGAGAGACUUGAAGGGAUCAUACAAAGAAAUCUCUGAGUUUUAUUUCAAAAACCUUGCAAAACUCCAGAAAGAAGGUUGAUCAAAGAGUUCAAAAUGGAGCUUGAUUAAACUGUUAUAUCUUUCAAUUACUCAAGACCCAAGUGAAAGCAAUAAGCUCUAUAGUUGAAGGUAAUAUGGAUAAGUUUGAAGACUGAGCAGUUUGUCAAUUUUCUGGUAGAAGAAUUUUUGUUUGAAUACAUGUGUAUUUCUAAGGUGUGAAAGCAUUGCAGCAACUCCAGAUCUAUUAUGGUAGUUUGCUAAGGGACUAGCAAAAGUCAAACAUGGGGGAGCUUGUUGAUGAUCCAUAACGUCAACAUUAUACCUUCAAUUAAUUCACAAUAUAAUGGCAAAAGAGUUAUUAGUGCGUAGUUGUAUGGUUUAUUCUAACAAGUUUCACGAGUUGUGUUGAUCUCACCUCUUUUGCAGGACUAUUGAUAUUUUACCACAUAAAAGUAUCACAAACGAUGAAAUAAAGUACACCAUUGCAAAGAGCUUGUUGAGACGAUUCAAAGAGACAUUUCAUUUGCUAUAUUUGGAAUCCCGACGAGAGAGUCCCCGAUUUAUAUGCCCAAGAAUUCUCUAGAAUACUCCAAAAGCAUCACCAAGCCAAAGUUUUAUGGACUAACAUGACAAUUUCCACAACUUUGGUGAAUGAUGAAUUUUUAGGGAUAAAAAUAGAAUACACCGAUGAAGAGUAGGAGCCAAGGAAUCGAACCAAAUCAAGUAAGAAUUCUACAAAGACCGAUGGGAAGGUUCUAGAGGACACCAGAAGACACAACAACAAAAUAGGAGCACGACGCUGGGCAACUGGGGCUAGCCGGUGUUGGGUAUUCUUAACAACAUUACCAAAAGUAGACUAAGUUCUCUAAAUCUAGUAACGGUGCCAAAAAUGCCAAACCUAUCCCUCAUAUCACUUAAGCCAAGUUGUCAUCCCCAGCAUGAUAUAAGAGACGCGGUAUUGAAAUAUGCAAUUGCUCUUCUAAAUAAAUAAUGAAUGGGAUCUGCAAGCGCAUAGAUUAAUACCGAUGUAGCAUUUUAACCGGGAAGUAUUCCAGGUAUCGUUAUUUAUAUUUUUACCACUGGGAAGGGAUUAACAAUCAUCACUAUUGAUUACAGAAUAGAAUAUGAGAUUGAGCAUAUAUCAUUACAAGUAUAAUUGAGAACAGUUAUCUAACUCUUCAUACAGGGAUAAGUGUCACAUAAAAGAUAUAUGAAGUAAUAAAUAGUGACAAGGAUAAUUAAUCUGAUGAGCCACAUAUAAAUAUGAUAAGCACCUCAAUUAGAUAUUCUAGAAAGUCAUUAGCAUGGUAUUAGAACGAACUACAAGAAUAUUCCCUAAGUUAUUCUCAACUAUAUAGUCUAGCAUUAUCAUAGUUAGUGCAAGCAUACUUAGCAAUCAUUGUGAGACAAGACUACGCCCAUGCAUAGUGAUAUUAGCAAGGAAUAUGAGAAACAUAGCAAUCACUCCCCUGUAAUAAUGUUGCUCUGCCAGCCCAAUACACGAGAGGGGGACUAUAUAAGAAUCAAUGAAGCUGUCACUAUCACGAACCACCCCACGAUCUGGCAUAUUGGGUACAAUCGUAGAUAAAUACGGUAUAAGCACCACGCCUACACAAUAUCUAUGAUUUACCCAUGGAUCCAAUGGAUAAACGCUAUACGAUCCUAAGCAUGUAUAUAGAUCCAAUCUAACUAAGCCAAGUACAUAACUAUGAUAAACUAAGAACAAUAUAAUCUUGAAUAUAAGCAAGUAGAGCAAAGUCAUAAGCAAUAUAUUGAAGUAGAACAAAGUCAUAUUCAUAAUAUUGAAGAACAAAGAUAAUUAGAAAGCAAUUAGAAGCACAAUUAGAGAAUUACCAAGAAUCCUCCUGACAGAUCUGGAAACCAAUCGAAGAUUGACUCCUUCUAGUUCUAAUCCUAUGUAGCUAUGCUAAUCUAGAUAUCUAAUUGAUGUGGUGGCUCUAAUCUUGAUCAGAGGCUUCUUCUCCCAUGAUGGAACAAUGAAUUAGGGUUGAGAGGCUCUCUCCUCCAGGGGCCAGGGGGUCUAGUUUUAUAGUCCCUUCAAGUGAAUAUGGGCCGUUGGAUCAAACCGACAUAGAUUGCAUGGUUUAGAUUCAUCCUUUAGGUCGGUGGAGAUCUCCCGCGAAGCAGAGUCCUGAUUGGACUCCUAGAGAGGGCGGGCGCCCAGGGGAACAGGGCGGGCGCCCUGCCUCUGGCCCCGUUUCGCCUCCGCUUCGGUCUCGUGGCUUCUGGAGUCUUCUAGAUGUAAGAUAAUUGCGCAGCACGUUAAUAUCUCUAUGUAAUCCCGACGUGUGAGCCUUUCUUCCGUAUUUCCUGAUAACCCCCUGCAGAAAUAGACAAACACCAAAACUCGUGGAAUUCUGUCAGAUAAAACCCUAAGUCUAGAUGUUAAUUUUAUUUGGAUCCUUUUCUUUAUUUAUUUGAUAAUUAAAUUUGAUACUUAAGGACCGUCAACAAACUCCCCCAAGCUUACCUCUUGCUCGUCCCUAAGCAAGGAUAGACUCACCUAUGGAUCAUAAGUUGUUGCAAUAUUUUUUAAAAAUUGGCGGUACACAUGCUUUUAAAUAUUAUCUCAUCUCUGAGUUAGAGUAAACUGUCAAGACUUAAAACUUACUUACUUUACCUUCACCAUGGGACUUGUAACCGUUACUUCUGUCUUGAGUAGUUAAAAGAUAGAACAGUCCCGCCAAGUGCCAUGUCUCUUAUUCUUGAUCAGCUAUAGCUCUGGGGUUUUUGCAGAUUUUCAAAUAAAACUCAGAGAUUCCUUGUAUGACUCUCUCAGAUCUCUCUUUUGUGGUAUUUCUGGAUCCUUACCAAGGCAGUGAUGGUAUAUGUCUUCUCUCAAGAUAUGUAGUAUUUGUGGUACAAAGCAUAGUGACAUUGCCUUCUGUCUCACCCUACUCUAAUAAGGCUUUAAUAUCUGGAGCUCAUAGGUGGGAGAUAAAGUAUACAUACUUACAAGACAUGUAUUGUAUAGUCAAACCAUGGAUCCAAAGAAACAAAUCAAUAAGCCAAAUCAAGAUGUGCAUGUGUGGCGAAUGAAUGGUGUAUGGUGAUGAUGGUGAUAACAAUGGUGAAAACAAUGGUGGUGGAAGUCUACUUCUACUUUUGCUCUUUGAGGGGAUACAUACCUUCCUUGAUUUUUGAAUAGUGAGGAGAAUAAGAUGCUCUUUUUUUUUCUUUUCUCUCAGGUGGGUAUCUUGCACCCCUAAUUCUACUGUCGGACACUUGUCCAUUUUUACCUCUCGUCUCACUUUUUCUUUUCUUUCGAGGUUCCGAGCACUUGCUCCUUUUUAUUUCCUCGUAUUAUAUUUUUUUCUUUUUUUUAGAGCACUCAUCUCUUGAGAUAAUAUAGCAAGUGGUAGUAACAAGAUAACUUGAGCAUUUAUUUCAUAAGGGAAAACAGAAAUAUUUUUGGUUAUUCUCUCCCGGAUUAGGAGUAGAAUAUUUUUGGGUGAUUCUGGAGAUGGAAUGGGUGGAUAUAUGUGGAUGGUACUUCCGGAGUAGAAGUAGCAUAUAUGAGUGAACGUGCAAGCGAAAUCUUGAUUUAACCACAUGACAAGCUCCUAAGGGUCUACACAGCUUGACCACACUCAAUGCUCAUAAGCAGUAAAUAGUAAAUGUGUGGCUCAAAGUCUAGCAAGCAUGUAUAUAUGGCUGUGGUAGGAAUUUAAACUCUCAUCAUACAAGAACUCAUCAUGCAACAUUUUAAAGUUUUUCAAAGAUAAAAUUCUCCAGAAUUCUAGCAUCUCUAGGAACAGAUAAACAGCAGCUCAACCUUCCCAUAACGUAUCCGUUAACAACUUAGACUUCAGAUCAAGUUUUCAUCCCACAAGUUUAGGUCUAGAGCAAGCCUUAAAUUAUAACAGUUAUGUCUAAACUUGAGAGAGAACUUAAAAUGUGCAAAUUAGGCAGAGCAACUUUUUAUCAUAUCCAUGCUUAAGUUUUAUUAUUAAGAUACAGAUUAGCAUAGCCACUUUAUUUAUUUAUUAAACACACUAAGCAAAAGACAUAUAUAUAUAUAAAAUCUUUAUUUGGUUUUUUUCAUAGUUUAUGUAUUUUAAUAUUCUAAUAUAAUAUAAGUAUAAAGAUAGAUAGAUAGAAAUACUUAUCGGGAUAAAUGGGGGUGCUCUCCCCCAAGCUGAAUUUUGACGUAAUUUCUCUUGAUGUAGCUAGCAGGUGGCAGAGGUGUAUUUGAAAGUCAGCAGCAUUCUGAUAGCGAUUAGAAUGUCCUCCGUCUGCUAGUCUUCCUAAAUUCUGUGGAGCUCAAAUAGACAACAAAGCUUGUGGAACUGAUUAAGUGUUAGCAUAAUUAUCUAGCCUUUAUCAUGUUGAGACUCCUUAAUAAUUAUUACUCCCUGUUUUUAUAUUUUCAUUUUAUAAAGCAGAAAAGAAAUAUUUAUUUUAUUUUUAUGCCACCACAGUGAAUGUACUUAUGGGUUUCAUGCCACUCGUAUACUCACAUGGGGCUUACUGUUUCUCAUAUAUUUUUUUUAUUUUCUUUUUAGAAUAGCACGAACAUGAUUAACUAAGUAAACUAGUUGAAAUAAUUAAAAGAGAAAGGAUAACUACCAAGUUUACCUCUUGGCAAGGCGUUCGGUGUUUUUUAAGUCCUUCGAACGGGACUCUCCAUUUUUUUAAUUGUCCUGAGGUUCGUUGGGUGGCGUAGUCGGUACUUCCGGCAGCGCCUCCUCUUCAUGUAUAGUUAUCUUCAUUUUCCAUACCUGACUCGGUGCUUCAAUCUCCUCUGGAUAAUUCUGUUUAAACUCUAUGUCUUCUGACCUUACAACUUCUCCUUCAUAGUCUGCCCAUCCAUCCCUGAUGAUGUGCCUCCUCUGGUUGCGGUUGUGUCUUUUCCUUACCUGCUUAGAUUCUUCAAUGAUAUAGUUAGGGUCAGUAAAGUAACGGCGUACCUUCUUUGAGGGGAAGUGCGUAUGCACUUCUCCGGUUCCAAUGUAGAUAAUUGCUUUGACGGUGCUGAGGAACGGUCUUCCAAGGAUGAUGGGUGGAUCGUAUUCAUCUUCUCCCAUGUCAAUAACUUGAAAGUCUGUGUAGACAAAGUGAUCGUCUAUUUUGACUGGGACAUCAGUUACUAUUCCUUUAACUUCUCGAAAUGUCUGAUCUGCCAUCUGGAGCUGAAUGUAUGUUGGUCUUAGUGGCAUGGUUCCGAACAAGAGCCGAUAGGUGACUGCGGCCAUUAUGUUGACGCCCGAUCCGGUGUCACAAGUUGCCUUGUAGAAGUUGUAUCCAUUUAUGGAGCAGUAAAUGCUUGGCAUUCCUAGGUCGUCCAUCUUAGUCAAAAGCGGUGACUUAAGUUGGUGAUCUUGGCCUCCAUGAACUACAGUGACCAUCUUAGCUGAUUCGGUCCACACUUGCUUAUUCCUGUUCCUCCUGUUGGUCCUCUUCCUUGAUUCACGUCUGGAUUGAUCUGGAAUUUGUGUAGUCUUGUUCUUGAAGAAAAAUGUCUCCUUCUUCCCUUUGACAUAGAAACUGAUCUUGGCAGCACUGGCGUAGAUGAUAGCUCCCGUGGUGUUCAAGAAUGGCCUCCCUAAGAUGAUAGGUGCUCUCUCAUCAUUUCCGGUCUCUACCACAACGAAGUCUGCUAGAGCAUAUAAGGUACCAACUCGGACACAAAGGUUCUUCAAUAUUCCUUUUGGAAAAGUUAUCGUCUGAUCUGCAAACUGCAAACACAUGGUUGUCUCUAAUAAAGGGUAUGUAAAGAAUUUUUCAUAGAGUACCCUGGGUAUAAUGUUGACACUGGAGCCAAAGUCGCAGAGUGCUUCGGGAACGUCCACCAUGCCGAUGGAGAUCGGGAUGACGGGGCGUCCUGGAUCGCCUCUCUUGACCGGCAGAAGGUCAGUAGAGAAUUCAUUGACGGGGUUACUCCAAUUACCUGCAUCAAACAUGUCUACAAGAUUUGCAGAUUCUAAUCCUUCCGGUUGUGAUGGUAUACCGGGGUUAGUAGUAGGAACAGCAGUAGCUAUUUGAUUUAACUGAGAUUCAAUCAUUUUAUUAAAGCUAAUUUGAUUCUUGAUGGCAGUAGAGAAAUUAUCCAUUCUAUUAUUUAUAUUUUCUAGCAUUUUAUCAUUAGAUGCCAAUUUCUUAGAUAGGUUAUCCAUUAGCUUUCCUUGAUUAGACACUAACUCUCUCAAAGGUGGAAAAUUAUUAUUAUUGUUGUAAGAAUUGUUACCUUGAUAAUUACCUGAGUAGUUGGGCCUCUGUUGAUUCCAACCUUGAUUUUGUUGAGGACGGUUGUAGUAGUUGUUGAUGUAGUUUACAUCCUCAAGUAUCUCAGGGCAGUGGUUGCCUGAGUGUCCAGUGUCUCCACACUCCUCACAAGUUAGGUGAGAGUCGUAGAUGUGCAUAACUUCCUUCUUAUCUCCAGCUCUAUCGUCGAGCUUCUUCAUGAGCAGGUCUAGCUUUGCAGACAGCAUGUCUACCUCUUUCAGCUGAUGCAUACCUCCACCUCUCUUGCGUGUCUGGGUCCUCUCUUCAUUCCAGCUUUGAUUGGACGCCAUCUUCUCCACAAGAGCUGUGGCUUGUGGUAUAGUCAGUGAUAAAAAUGCUCCUCCAGCUGCAGCAUCCAUGGUUUCUCGGGCACUGUUGCCCAGCCCAUGAUAAAAUGUUUGCAUCAAUAGCCAACUCUCCAUUCCAUGAUGGGGACAUUCUAGGAUGUAGUCUUGAAAGCGCUCCCAUGCUUCUGGAACAGAUUCAUCAUUUUGUUGCUGAAAACUUGUAAUCUUCCCAAGGAGAGCAUUGGUCUUGCCCAUGGGAAAGAACUUUGCCAGGAAGUUUGUUGAGCAGAGUGCCCACGUAGUAUUCUUCUCCUUUGUAGCGUAGAACCACUGCUUCGCUCUUCCUAACAGUGAGAAUGGGAAGAGGCGAAGUAGUAUAGCAUCUUUGGAAACUCCUGAUAUGGUGAAUGUGUUGCAAAUCUCCAGGAAGUGUUGUAAAUGAGCACUAGCGUCUUCGUGUGCCUUCCCACAGAACUGGUUGGAUUGCACCAUGUUGAUAAGUCCAGGCUUGAGCUCAAAGUUGCCGUCGAUCUCUCCAGCAGGUCCAGUGCGGAUGUUGUCCGUAGUGGGAGCUGAGAACUCGCGGAUUGAUUUGUUCGCCAUGGCUUCGAACUCUGAAGACAAGUUCCGGUGAUCUUCUUGAUUAGAUGAAGCUUCUUGCUGAAGUGUUGAUGAUUUCUUUAGCUUGGCUCUCGUCUUCUUGAAUAAUGCUUCAGGAUUGUCAACAAAAUUUCCUGGAAGAUGUCUUCUAUUCAUACAUUCCCCUGCAUAAGAUAAAAUAGAAAAAUAUCGGGGUAAAACUGUAUGAGAGAAUAGAUAAGCUCAAUCAUAUUAGUGAUGGAAUGAUAACUCAAAAUCUUUUAUUCCAUUCCUGAUUAGUAAUCAACCUUCUCCGGCAACGGCGUCAAAAAUGCUUGUUGGGUAUUCUUAACAAUAUUACCAAAAGUAGACUAAGUUCUCUAAAUCUAGUAACGGUGCCAAAAAUGCCAAACCUAUCCCUCGUAUCACUUAAGCCAAGUUGUCAUCCCCAGCAUGAUAUAAGAGAUGCGGUAUUGAAAUAUGCAAUUGCUCUUCUAAAUAAAUAAUGAAUGAGAUCUGCAAGCGCACAGAUUAAUACCGAUGUAGCAUUUUAACCGGGAAGUAUUUCAGGUAUCGUUAUUUAUAUUUUUACCACUGGGACGGGAUUAACAAUCAUCACUAUUGAUUACAGAAUAGAAUAUGAGAUUGAGCAUAUAUCAUUGCAAGUAUAAUUGAGAACAGUUAUCUAACUCUUCAUACAGGGAUAAGUGUCACAUAAAAGAUAUAUGAAGUAAUAAAUAGUGACAAGGAUAAUUAAUCUGAUCAGCCACAUAUAAAAAUGAUAAGCACCUCAAUUAGAUAUUCUAGAAAGUCAUUAGCAUGGUAUUAGAACGAACUACAAGAAUAUUCCCUAAGUUAUUCUCAACUAUAUAGUCUAGCAUUAUCAUAGUUAGUGCAAGCAUACUUAGCAAUCAUUGUGAGACAAGACUACGCCCAUGCAUAGUGAUAUUAGCAAGGAAUAUGAGAAACAUAGCAAUCACUCCCCUGUAAUAAUGUUGCUCUGCCAGCCCAAUACACGAGAGGGGGACUAUAUAAGAAUCAAUGAAGCUGUCACUAUCACGAACCACCCCACGAUCUGGCAUAUUGGGUACAAUCGUAGAUAAAUACGGUAUAAGCACCACGCCUACACAAUAUCUAUCAUUUACCCAUGGAUCCAAUGGAUAAACGCUAUACGAUCCUAAGCAUGUAUAUAGAUCCAAUCUAACUAAGCCAAGUACACAACUAUGAUAAACUAAGAACAAUAUAAUCUUGAAUAUAAGCAAGUAGAGCAAAGUCAUAAGCAAUAUAUUGAAGUAGAACAAAGUCAUAUUCAUAAUAUUGAAGAACAAAGAUAAUUAGAAAGCAAUUAGAAGCACAAUUAGAGAAUUACCAAGAAUCCUCCUGACAGAUCUGGAAACCAAUCGAAGAUUGACUCCUUCUAGUUCUAAUCCUAUGUAGCUAUGCUAAUCUAGAUAUCUAAUUGAUGUGGUGGCUCUAAUCUUGAUCAGAGGCUUCUUCUCCCUUGAUGGAACAAUGAAUUAGGGUUGAGAGGCUCUCUCCUCCAGGGGCCAGGGGGUCUGGUUUUAUAGUCCCUUCAAGUGAAUAUGGGCCGUUGGAUCAAACCGACAUAGAUUGCAUGGUUUAGAUUCAUUCUUUAGGUCGGUGGAGAUCUCCCGCGAAGCAGAGUCCUGAUUGGACUCCUGGAGAGGGCGGGCGCCCAGGGGAACAGGGCGGGCGCCCUGCCUCUGGCCCCGUUUCGCCUCCGCUUCGGUCUCGUGGCUUCUGGAGUCUUCUAGAUGUAAGAUAAUUGCGCAGCACGUUAAUAUCUCUAUGUAAUCCCGACGUGUGGGCCUUUCUUCCGUAUUUCCUGAUAACCCCCUGCAGAAAUAGACAAACACCAAAACUCGUGGAAUUCUGUCAGAUAAAACCCUAAGUCUAGAAGUUAAUUUUAUUUAGAUCCUUUUCUUUAUUUAUUUGAUAAUUAAAUUUGAUACUUAAGGACCGUCAACAAACUGCCCCACCUGCUAAGCCAGCCGGCCUAGGCCCACAUCGAAGUGGCCUCCGCUUCGCAUGAUGGUUUCCAACCGACCUCUACGAUGCAUCUUGACCCUUGUUUCAAGUUGGUUUGAUCCAAAGGCUACGGUUCAUCCCACCGGACUAUAUAAGGAGGGGCAGACCCCCCUAAGACACCCAUCAAUCCCAUCAAUCAUCAGUUGAUCAUUCAGAAGGGCAGAGAGAAAAGUUAGGAUUUUGAAACAGAAGAUUAGAGCUCUAUUUCAAGUUUAGGUUUAGUUCUAGCUAGAAACAAGUAGAGCUGAGCGUGGCUCAGGAUUCUAGGUCGACAUCAGGAUAUUUGGUAAUUCUAUUAUUGUAUCUCAUAAUUAUGACUUUGUGCUACUUCAAUAUCAUUAUGCUCUUGUUUAUUUCGUUCUUAGCUUAUUCUAGUUCUAUCUUUGAUAUAUUCUUAAUUGAUAAUAAGUUUAGACAUAAGUUCAUAGAGUGCCUAGUUCAACUCUGGAUUGGAUUAGGUGGUAGAAUUAAUGUAGACGUGGUGUCUAGAAUAUAUUUACCUACAAAUGCACCCUAUUUUCUAGGCCAUGUGAUAGAACGUGAAGGUGACUAUUAUAGCUUGUUGAGUUGUAUGUAGUCCACUCCCCGAAUCUAGGACAAGUAAAACCCGGUUACUUGGGGAAGGAUUGCUUUAUUCCUACAUUUUCUGAAGUAAUGUUCCUAAUGUUUAGAUAGAAAGAUUGAUUAAGAUAUAGAUGAUAAAGAGUAGAAUAGAAGCCCUAAAACUUAGUAGAUAGGACAUAAUUUUAGGAAUUAAAUCUCUAACUGUAUUGCUUUCUAUAUCCUACUUGAUCAAAUGAGUUCUCUCUAAUUAUGGAUUCCCUAUCUUUAUCUCAUUAUUAUUAUUAUUAUUAUUAUUAUUAUUAUUAUUAUUAUUAUUAUUAUUAUUAUUAUUAUUAUUAUUAUUAUUAUUAUUAUUAUUAUUAUUAUUAUUAUUAUUAUUAUUAUUAUUAUUAUUAUUAUUAUUUGCCUUACCCCUAUUUAGACAGAAGUGGUUAAUUGAUUCAUAUCUAGAGUAUGCAUUUGUAAUUCUUAUAGCCAUAUCAAUUUCCUUUUCUAGACCCUGUCUAGAGAUUCCUAUAGAUAGAAUUAUAAAUAACAAUACCUAGAACUUUUCUAGGUUAAAAUGCAACAAUAGGAGUAUUUAUCUAUGCGCUUGCAGAUAAUUGCUAUUUCAUAAUUUAAAAGUGUCAUGAUAUAAGUAUAACCACAUUUCUUAUGUCAUGUUAGGGUUGACAACCUAGUGUGUGCGGUGUAAGAGAUGCCAACAAUGGCCUCGAGGGCUACACCUACUCGCCGGAUGAAGUAGCCUAACCCUUUGAUCAAUGAAGGUCCGGGUGGUGCAUCCCCUAGAAACAACCAACUCCCUAAGAGUUGGGCCUAUACCCACUGAGCAAUGGCCCAAAUGACGGCCCCUAGUCCAAGGCUCGACACGCUUCAUGCUCCCUGUUGAUAUUUGGGAACACAAUAAGGAAUUGAUCCGCAAGCGCACGGAUAUCGGUGAGCACUUCACCCGGGAGGUUAUCCAGAGUAUCGUAUUUAUUUUUUUACCACUAGGAGAAAGAGUGCAUCUGACUAACCGGUCUAUUACUACUAACCCUUUAGGCAACAAAUAAUGUCUCUCGAUGUGAGUGAUAAAUAGAGAAGACUGCAACCGUAGUCUCCUUCUAACCUUGGUAAGGAUGAUCUACUGUUCUAUUGGGGAGGCUAACGGAAUCUAGACACCACAAAGGAUGUUCAACCCGCACCUAUAAACCCUAUCCUUCCUGCUAACGAGAUAUGGUCUGCAAAGGUAACUUGGAAUUGUCACGUUCCUCACUACUACAACGGUAUAGCUAGUCAGAGAAUAUCUAUGAGUACCCCAGCCUAAACACCACGUUUAUGCGAGCAAUGAUUACUCUAAACUCUACGCGAAGAGAUUAAAGUAAACUCAUAAACCAGAAGAACAAUAAAAGAAGAACUUACUAGAAUUUAGAAGUUGAAAUACUGAAGAAUCCUAGGAGGAAGCUUCGGGUUAGGAGAACUUGAUCCCACAGGUACAAGCUUGGAGUAGACACCGACAGGUCGGGCUUCCUCCAAUCUACACCUCCACUCUAUCUCUCUCAAUCUAGUAGAAACUAGAAGAUCUAUUUCUACUUUACAUUGGUUGCUAAGCCUAAAAAGAAAUAUUAAUUAGAGAAGAGGUUUUCCUUCGAGGGCACCCCUCAAUCUCUAUGAUAAUUUCUUGUCUCCUCCAGGGGCCAGGGGGUCUCCUUAUAUAGUCCUCCUCCUCUAUGCGUUUUUGGGUCGGUAGGCGAGGUGGUACUACAUUAUCCUUGAUCCAAUAGGUUGGUGGAACAUCGUGUGCGAAGAGAGUCCCGAACGGGAUCCAGCAGGGGGCGGGCGCCCAGGUCACCAGGGCGAGCGCCCUGGGCCUGGCCCCUUUCGGCCUCUGCUUCGUUCUCGUGGCUUCUGGAGUCUUCUAGAUGGUAGAAAAUCGCGCGGUGAGUUGAUAUCUCUAUGUAAUCCUGACAUGUGGGCCUUUCUUCCUUAUUUCCUGAUAACCCCUGCAGAAACAGAUAAACAACAAAACUCGUGGAAUUCUGUCAGAUCAAACCCUAAUUCUAGGUGUUGAUUGCAUAUUGGUCCUUUCUCUUGUUUAUUUGAUAAUUAAAAUUGAUACUUAAGAACCGUCAACAAAUACCCCCAUACUUAGGCUUUUACUCGUCCUCGAGAAAAGGAUGGUUAAGAACAAUACUUGGGGUAAAACAUUCUAAAACAUUCUUUAUACUUGCAGGGUAUUAAAAUCCAUUGUGUACUGUAGUCAGGAAAGUAUAUGAUUAAGAGUAAAGAUCCUUUCUUCUCAAUCCUGUUACUUGGAGUUUUUGUAUAAUUUUGAAAGAAAGCUAGCAUACCUUUUUAUCCUCAUAGGUUCUCUCAGAUCACUCAUUAUCUUUUAUAUAUCUCACUGAUGUUGUUUUAAUUUGCAAAAAUUCUUAAGCAUACUUACUUUGCAUUUAUUGCCUGAUCAAAACGGGAUCCAAGGAGGGGAAUGUCAUACUCUUAGAUCAAAGACUUUGGAAAUUAAAAUCUUUGUCAACUCUUGCUGGCAUAUUGCUUAUUAGAGGGACCAUGGGCUAUCAUUUUUUUCUCUCUCUUCUUCUUUUUUUUUAAGUGGAUACCAAGGUAUCCCUAAUUCUACUGCCGGACACUUGUCCAUUUUUCCUGCGAGGUUGUCGAGCACUUGCUCCUUUUUAUUUCCUCGAAAUAUCUUUAUUUUUGCAUAGCUCAUGCCUCUAAUGCAAUAAUACUUCGGAAGAGUGAACCUUUCUGAAUAAAGGUCUUGAUCUUAGGAGCAUGAUAAAUCUCUCAACAAGGGUCUAACUCAUUUUGAACAAACUCAAUACAGAGUAGAUAGCUUUUAUAAUCAUAAUUAAUAUUUUCAGUUUUUAUCAGGCAUAUAAAACACUGAGGAUGGUAGCUAAAAUUUUAAAGAUUUUGAAAUAAAUUCUCCAAGCAACAAUGAUAUCAAGAAUAAGAAACACUACCAUCUCACAUUUCACACUGUCUUAAGUAACACAAGGUUUUAAAAUGAUUUUAUAAUAAUUGCAAGUUUCAGGAAAUAUAACAGAGUGAGAUUAAUCAUGAUUAGAAAUAUUUUAAUCUUUUUAAUGUAUCAUGUCGGAAACAGUAAUCUGCAUAAUCAAGAUAUGUGAAGUGUAAAGUAAAGUGUGCAGAGUGUGUACCUGAAUCGUGGAGUGGUGUAGUCGAAGUGUGUUUGGCGUGUCGAGGGAUCUCCCCCAUACUUGUUUUCUGCUUUCUUGCACAAAAAAUAAAGUAGAGACACACGAGGCAUAAAAUAAUAAUAAUAAUAAUAAUAAUAAUAAUAAUAAUAAUAAUAAUAAUAAUAAUAAUAAUAAUAAUAAUAAUAAUAAUAAUAAUAAUAAUAAUAAUAAUAAUAAUAAUAUUCUUUAUUAAUCUUGAGGCAUUUAUUACAAAUAACUAGUAGCAAACUGAUCAUAGUAGUAAACUGAUGAUAAUAGUAAACCUAAACUGAAUUUAAAGAUAAAUAACUAAGAUGCAUUGCCUCAAGGUCUAAUCUAGAUAACUUAGCGGCGCUCUAAUUCCUUAAUCUUCUUGUUGGCACUAGCAAGAUCCUGCCUAAGGCCUAGUAUGAUGGUGUUGUGGUUAGAGAGCUGCCUAGUGAGGGAAUUAAUCGAGGUCUGGAGGUCUAUGAUAACUCUGUCUAGUCUGCGAACGUCCUCAUCAAUAUCCAUUAUAGUUUUGCGACGCUUGGGAGGUGUCUCAAAAGCAUUGAGAGCGUGCUUCGGGGCUGCCUUUGGAGGGAUGAAACGCACUUUGGCUGCUCUAAUCCCUUCGAAGUAAGGCCUUUCUUCCUCUGUAGUGUAGCGUACGCUGCUGAUCUCACCACUCCAGUUGGUCUUGACUCCAACGACUCUCUCAUUGGGUCUAGGUGGAAGGAUCCUUGUGUCGGUUGGCACCUUGAUGGUGGUCUUCGUCUUGGAUGAUGAUUCCUUGAGGAGUAGGGGUUGUGGCGGUGCGGUGAGAACUGGUUGAGCAUUGUAGGAUUGGGCGGAGCUGCGUUGGCGUAAUGGCAUGGCUUCUAGCUGUCGCUCUGUGUUGGCCGGGACGAGAGCACGGUCAUUGGGGUCUUCCACAGGCUCCAUGUUGAGGUUGAAGGGGACGACUUCCCAAUCAUCGUGGUACUUCUCGGCCAUUGGAGCAGCAAGGAACUAAUCAAGCUCUAAUUGAAGAAGAAGAGAAGGCUUGGUGGCUUGGUGUUUGAAAACUCAGGUCAGGGGUCUGUUUAUAUAGGGGUCAAAAAGUACCUCUAUGGGUUGUUCGGGUUGCUCCCGUCGAUGUGCGUGCGAAACUUUCCAUCUGAGAGAUUAUUUGGAUUUCCUUAAGUGCAUUUUCCAUAACAGAGAAAGUCGGGACCAAGGGGGAACAGGAGCUGGGCGCCCGCCCUCUCUCUGGCCCCUCUGUGGGUCCACUUCCUUGAGCGUGUUAUUAGAUGCAAAACUAUUUAGAAAAAUAUAUAUAUGACCCGAAAACGUGAGACUAAAAAGGUCGGGCUCUAAUUCUCCAUGGGAAGGUAAAAAUAGACUACGUCUAUUUCUUCUAAUUCUUUAUUGGGCUCUAAAAAUAAUUUAAGACGUUGACCAUUUACCUUGAAUAACGUACCUUCAUCAUUUUGAAGUGUGAUAGCUCCGUGGGAUGAUGAAUUAAUUACCUUGAAUGGUCCUUCCCAUUUGCUCUGGAGUUUUCCAUGCCCGAAAAGCUUCACCCUGGAAUUAAAAAGUAAUACCUUAUCUCCGGGUGUGAACUCCUUCUUCUUGAUUCUCUUGUCAUGCCACCUUUUGACUCUUUCUUUGUAGAUCUUCGAAUUGUGAUAUGCUUUCUCUCGCCAUUCUUCCAAUUCUGAUAGUUGCAUUCUUCUAUAAUCUCCAGCAACAUCUAGGUCCAUAUUCCAUCUCUUUAUGGCCCAGUGUGCUUUGAACUCUAGUUCAACGGGUAGAUGGCAAGUCUUCCCAUACACCAAUUGGUAUGGAGACAUUCCAAUUGGGGUCUUGUAUGCUGUUCGGUAUGCCCAGAGUGCAUCGGGUAACUUGUCUUUCCACGCCGUUCCCAUUUCAUUUACUGUCUUCUGAAGAAUAUUCUUGAUUUGUUUGUUGGAAGUUUCUGCUUGGCCACUUAUCUGUGGAUGAUAGGGGGUAGCGACGUUGUGACGGAUUCCAUGUUUUGAUAGAUAUUGCUUGAAGCGUUUGUCGAUGAAGUGUGCUCCUCCAUCACUUAUCACUACUCUGGGGACUCCAAAUCUUGGAAAUAUAAUUUCUUCAAACAUCCUCUUUGAACUGAUGUUGUCGGCAUGCUUGCAAGGUAAUGCCUCUACCCACUUGGAGACAUAGUCAACUGCCACCAAGAUGUACUCGCACUUCUUUGAUGGAGGAAAUGGACCCAUGUAGUCUAUUCCCCAUACAUCAAAGAGCUCAAUCUGAAGGUUGUUGGUGAGUGGCAUUGCAUCCCUUGUAUUUAUGUUUCCGUGCCUUUAACAUGGCCCACAUCUUCUGAUAUAUUGCUUCGUGUCUUCAUAUAUUGUAGGCUAGUAGAAUCCACACUGCCAGAUCUUUGAAUGUGUACGGAAUGCUCCAUAGUGACCUCCAUAUGGUGAUGAAUGACAUCUAUCGAUGAUCUUCCAACCUUCCUCAGUGGUCACACAUCUCCUGAGUAAGCCAUCAGAGCAUACUCGGAAGAGGUAUGGCUCAUCCCAUAUAUGUGAACGACUUUCUUGAAUAAGCUUCUUCUUGUUUGCUCCUGGUGGUACAUACCCUGAAACCAUAAAAUUAACAAUAUCUGCAUACCAGGGGUCAGACCUGUUAAUCCCGUAGAGCAUGUCGUCCCGGAGUGAAUCAUUGAUGGGGGUUUCCUGUGGACUCUUAAAAUACAUUCUAGACAAGUGAUCAGCAAUAGAAUUUUAUACUCCCUUUUUAUCUUUUAUUUCUAAGUCAAAAUCUUGGAGUAAUAAGAUCCAUCUAAUCAGGGGAGGUUUAGCAUCUUUUUUAGUGAGCAAAUAUUUUAGUGCAGCAUGAUCAGUGUAAACAAUUAUUUUAGCUCCAACUAAAUAAGAUCUAAAUUUAUCAAUGGCAAAGACAACAGCCAGAAGCUCUUUUUCAGUGGUUGCAUAAUUAAGUUGAGCUCCUGUCAAAGUUUUACUGGCAUAAGCAAUUGCAUGAUGCUUCUUAUUUUUAGUUUGUCCCAAAACUGCCCCCACAGCAUAAUCACUAGCAUCACACAUAAUUUCAAAAGGCAACGACCAAUCAGAGGGUUGAAUAAUUGGUGUAGAGAUGAGUGCUUUCUUUAAUAAAUUAAAAGAUGUUAGACAUGCAUCAUCAAAUUCGAAAGGAGCAUCCUUGGCUAGCAAAAGAGUAAGUGGUCUAGCAAUGAAUGAGAAAUCUUUUAUAAAUCUACAAUAAAAACCAGCAUGGCCAAAAAAGCUUCAAAUUCCUUUUAUAUUCACAGGUGGAGGUAGUUGUUCAAUUACUUCAAUUUUAGCUUUGUCUACCUCAAUACCUCUUUCAGACACUAAGUGUCCCAGCACUAUUCCUUCUCUAACCAUAAAAUGACAUUUUUCCCAAUUAAGGACUAAGUGCUUUUCUUCACAUCUUUGCAAAACCUUGUCUAAGUUUUCUAGACAACUAUCAAAAGUUUUUCCAUAAACAGAGAAAUCAUCCAUGAAAACUUCCAUAAUCUCUUCAAUCAUAUCAGAAAAUAUAGACAUCAUGCAUCUUUGAAAAGAAGCUGGUGCAUUACAUAACCCAAAAGACAUUCUACGGUAAGCAUAAGUUCCAUAUGGGCAUGUAAAAGUGGUUUUGCUUUGAUCAUCAGGAUGGAUCGGGAUUUGGUGAUACCCUGAAUAUCCAUCUAAGAAACAGAAGAACGAAUGGUUUGCUAACCGCUCUAGCAUCUCAUCUAUGAAAGGUAAAGGAAAGUGAUCCUUUCUCGUGGCUUUGUUUAGUUUUCUAUAGUCUAUGCACAUCCGCCCUCCUGUGACGGUGCGUUGCGGAAUUAGCUCGUUCUUUUCAUUCAUAAUAACAGUCAUGCCUCCCUUUUUAGGCACAACUUGCACUGGGCUUACCCACUCACUGUGCGGCACAGGAUAUAUAAUCCCUGCAUGCAGCAACUUUAUAACUUCCUUUUUAACUACGUCUCUCAUAGUGUUAUUAAGUCUAUGUUGGGGUUCUCGAGAGGGUGAAACAGAAGGAUCUGUUGGAAUACGAUGGGUACAAAUCAUAGGACUGAUUCCUGUAAGAUCUUGGAGUGAGUAGCCGAAAACUGAGUGAUGUUUCUCAAGAAUAGUCAUUAAUCACAGAGUUUGGUCCAGAGUGAGUUUAUUGCUAAUGAUCACAGGAAACUCUGGAUUAUUGUUUAGGAAAGCAUAGUUAAGACCGGGUGGUAAAGUUUUAAGCUCUAUGGGGGGUCUAGGUGUUUCUGCAAACUCAUCUAAGGGUUCUGGUUCAGAAGGUUCGGCUUCUUCUUCUGUGAAGAACAGAGUUUCGUCUUCUAAGUCUGAUUCUUCUAAAAGCUCUAGAGAUGCAGCCUUUACCUCCUCCAUAGGAUCAGGCAAAAGAUAUGAUUCGGCCUUAUUGUUUAAGGAGUGUGAAAUUGUUAUUGGGAAUUUAAAGGCUUUUCCAAAAGAAAUGUUUAGCUUUCCAGUAUGACCUUCAUAAAGGAGUCUUCUAAAAGGUUGUCCUAUCAACAGGUCGAAGUCCCAUGUAUCAAAGAUAUAGAAGUUCAAAUGAACCAUGGAGCCUUCUACCAUAAGAGGUAGGACAUUAAUAAUUCCAAGACUGGGGACUAAUCGUCAAGAAGAUUCCUUUAUGACCUUUGUUGUGGGGGUUAAGACAAGAUUUUUAAAUAGUUUAAGUGCAAAAGAUUUAGACAUGAUGUUGAUCCCCAUAACAGGAUUAUAAAGAGCAUUAAAUCGAUCAAAAUUAUAAGCACAGCGUAUAGUUAUAGAGGGUGUGUCCAAACGGAUCACAUCAGAGGAAAGCUCUGACUCCUCCAACCAUUCGCUACUCAUGACUGAGAUAAGCUCUCUCAAUUGGUAUUCACUUGGCAAAUAAAUGCUAAACUGGCCGUUUUGGGGUUUGUCAAUAGAAUGGUAGUUUGAAAUGUUUCCAAAAUCGGCAAAAAGAUCGGAUUCUAUAUCCAGCAUGAAGUCCGGUGGUGGAAUUUCUUCCUCUUGUGGCUUAGAACUUGGGAUAGCUAAAGUAGAUGAAGAAUUUGGCAGAGUGUCUACUUUAGCUUCGUAGGUUUCAUCAUGAAGGCUAUUAUCCAUCUCAGCUUCUAGGAUUCUAUCUAGGAUCACUCUAGCUUCAUCAGUAGGGAUGCGAAAGAAAGAACCUCUAGACAUUGUGUGUAGCAUUUGUUUGUGAUUUUUCUGAAGACCUCGAAAAAAGUGAAAUAAAAGAACAGGGUCUUCAAGAUUAAGGUUUGGUCUAGAUUCUAAAAGAUCAGAAAAAUUUUUCCAGGAUUUUCCCAAAGUUUCAUUAUCUUUUUGCUUAAAAGAUAGGACUUCGAGUCUAAGGUCGGCUAUACGGUCGAGGGAAUAGAAAUCUAGACAAAAGUUGGCUCGUAAAACUCCCCAUUCACCUCGUUGUUGACUUACCUUCUGACUGUACCAUUGUCUAGCUUCUCCCCUUAAGGAAAAAGGAAAAAGCUUCCAACGUAAAGUUUUAUCAGAAAUGCCUUCAAUGCGAAGACAAUCACGUGUUUGCUCAAAAUCUCUAAUAUGAAGGUAAGGGUUUUCGUCUUCCUUUCCCGAAAAAGAUAGGUUUUGAAUCAUGGCAAUCAACCUAGAACUUAACUUAUACUGGGAUGUUUGGAUAGGCUGUGAUGACUCCCAUGGUAAAAGGUCAGUUACUGAAGGGAUUGCAGAUUCAUGGAUCGAUUUAGAAUUUUGGUUUUCCAUAAGGUAAGAGUAAAGAAAAUAAAUACAGAAUAUAAAAGAUAAGAAAAGAUAAAAGUAUAGAUACAAGUUAGUAGUAAGACUCAAGGUUAUCUCAGCAAACCGUCUUUCUCCCCGGCAACGGCGCGAGAAAUGCUUGUUGAUAUUUGGGAACGCAAUAAGAAUUGAUCCGCAAGCGCACGGAUAUCGGUGAGCACUUCACCCGGGAGGUUAUCUAGAGUAUCGUAUUUAUUUUUUUACCACUAGGAGAAAGAGUGCAUCUGACUAACCGGUCUACUACUACUAACCCUUUAGGCAACAAAGAAUAUCUCUCGAUGUGAGUGCCAAAUAGAGAAGACUGCAACCAUAGUCUCCUUCUAACCUUGGUAAGGAUGAUCUACUCUUCUAUUGGGGAGGCUAACGGAAUCUAGACACCACAAAGGAUGUUCAACCCGCACCUAUAAACCCUAUCCUUCCUGUUAACGAGAUAUGGUCUGCAAAGGUAACUUGGAAUUGUCACGUUCCUCACUACUACCACGAUCUAGCUAGUCAGGGAAUAUCUAUGAGUACCCGAGCCUAAACACCACGUUUACGCCAGCAAUGGUUACUCUAAACUCUACGCGAAGAGAUUAAAGUAAACUCAUAAACCAGAAGAACAAUAAAACAAGAACUUACUAGAAUUUAGAAGUUGAAAUACUGAAGAAUCCUAGGAGCAAGCUUCGGGUUAGGAGAACUUGAUCCCGUAGUUACAAGCUUGGAGUAGACACCGGCAGGCCGGGCUUCCUCCAAUCUACACCUCCACUCUAUCUCUCUCAAUCUAGUAGAAACUAGAAGAUCUAUUUCUACUUUACAUUGGUUGCUAAGCCUAAAAAGAAAUAUUAAUUAGAGAAGAGGUUUUCCUUCGAGGGCACCCCUCAAUCUCUAUGAUAAUUUCCUGUCUCCUCCAGGGGCCAGGGGGGUCUCCUUAUAUAGUCCUCCUCCUCUAUGCGUUUUUGGGCCGGUAGGCGAGGUGGUACUACAUUAUCCUUGAUCCAAUAGGUCGGUGGAACAUCGUGUGCGAAGAGAGUCCCGAACGGGAUCCAGCAGGGGGCGGGCGCCCAGGUCACCAGGGCGGGCGCCCUGGGCCUGGCCCCUUUCGGCCUCUGCUUCAUUCUCGUGGCUUCUGGAGUCUUCUAGAUGGUAGAAAAUCGCGCGGUGCGUUGAUAUCUCUAUGUAAUCCCGACAUGUGGGCUUUUCUUCCUUAUUUCCUGAUAACCCCCUGCAGAAACAGAUAAACAACAAAACUCGUGGAAUUCUGUCAGAUCAAACCCUAAUUCUAGGUGUUGGUUGCAUAUUGGUCCUUUCUCUUGUUUAUUUGAUAAUUAAAAUUGAUACUUAAGAACCGUCAACACUCCCUGAUCCAUGGCAGCAAAGGGUUGGCCCUAGAAGGCCGGCUCAAGAGGAUUUAAUCCCAUUAUACAUCACAGGCCCUAGAAGGACAAGGUUUUAUGGUUGAUCAACUGGCCCCGAGCUACAGCCUUGAGCUCAUGAUCACCUAGCCUGGCAAGAUCUGAUCGAAAGGAGGGCCUUUAGUUGGCGGCUCCUAGAUGAGCCAGCCAAGCCCUCACUCGAGCUGAAGACCCAAGCACCUUGGACUAGUGAGGGAGCCAACACUAACACUUGCCCUCAGCCACCAAGCCAAAGCUCCUUCAUGUUUUGUAGGUGAAGUCCUCAAGCAAGGGGAGACCUCUCUUGGUCAGCAGAAUCAUCCCUGCAAAGGAGGGUUCAAUCACCAUGAGACCAAAGUCAGCCUUUCAUCGCCAUCAUGGUAACUGAGGCCACAAAGGGCUCAAGGGCUCUUGUCAAGAUCAUAAACAUCCAGGUAUGUCUAAAUCUUAAUUUUAGAUGGUUCCUGAUCAUCUAGAGACCCCUAGCCUAUCCCUCUAGGAUAGCCUCGGGGCUAGGGGUUAUGCCCAUUAGGCAGACCUAGGCAUGCCCUUGGGACAAUGGAUCUAGCCAUGCCUGGCCCCACAACACCUUUGGGUUGAGGCUUAGGGGCUGCACCAAGCCAUGGCCACUUGAUCUACAUUGCCACCAUGCCUGGCCCUUGGAUCCUACCCCACCUACUGAAGCUAGCCAAGGCCUAGGCUCAAGAUGACGAGCACCUAGGCUACCGAUGCUCGGGGUCUCGCCGAUGAUGCUCUCAAGGUGUGUCCCUACCAGUUGCUCCUCUAACAGGGUCACGUCUAGGGCAUGACACCAAAAGACAAAUCCCCAUCAUCCUCCAGGGGCUAGUUGGCCUCUAAGCCUACAUGUCAGCCUCUAGAGCUAACCUCCCCCACUACUAGGAAGACUCUAGAAGGUCUCACCUAGGGAGGCCAGUCCAAGCUGACAAGACCUAACACUCGGUGGUCAAGAUAGAACAGCUAGACAACACCCAGGCUUCAUCAGUGCCAAGACAUCUCCUCGGUCCACGACGCUCCACUGCAAGGCCUCCAUGGACUCUGGUGCAUGUUUACCAUAAGCUAGAAACCACAACCACCUUGUACCCAACCCCUCCUAUUAUAUAUAAGGGACAGGAUCAGCCCUUCAUGGGGAUCUUGAAUCUUUCCAACACCAAACUGCCUUCUCUAUUCUAGUCACCCAGAGUAGAGCAACCCAUGGGGAAGCUCUGGCAGUUCCUCCACCGUCACCUUCCUCUCCAGCAAGGGGAGACAUUUCUAGUAGUGUGGUACACCACCACCUUAGGACUAGCAUCGAGCUAGCCCCUACCAAAACUCAUCCUUUCACACCGAUUGUAACCCCCUAGAUCCUUGGUGUUCUUGAGUACAAGGAUCAUCAGCUGCUAGAUGUAGGGACUGACUUGGCCUAAACCACGAUAAAUCUCUACGUCUCCCAUGUGUUUCUUGAGUUCUUGAGUUCACCUGAGUCACUGUAUUCGUCGUGCGACGACACCAUCCGAACAAUAUGCUUGUCGUGGUUUUAACCCCGUGAUAGAUAGCCCUAGACAAGUGCAUAUGGUCUUCUUCCCAAAUCAAAAGCUUUCCAAAUGGUGAAAUGGCCUUUUUUAGCAAAGGUUGGAUCCAAUAAUCAAUAUCAAGCCUAGGAGGAUUAGCUAGACCUUAUGAUUCAUAAUAGCAGUAUGUCUAUUCCAAGUCCAGUUAUGUGUAACAAAGGAAAUAGUGAAAUUGCCAUAUAGGUGGGGGCUCUAGUGAAUGAGAAAGUCUCCAACAUGCAUAUAGUUAAAUCACACCGUCAGGGCAUAGCUGCAAUGAAUAGUAGCCAACCCGCAUCUAAUUAUGGAGGAAAUCAUUAAUGAUGUUAUGUAUGACUAAAAAAUCAAAACCUGCCCUAGCGAGAGCGAAUGCAGAGUGAUAAUGGCUAGAUCACUAUUCUUUUUUGGCAUCUAACCCAUGAUGAUCUACAACUCCCUUGGUCUUCCUUGCACCAUGACCCAUUGCCCUAGUGUGCCAUAAACAGAGUGGGAUCAACCAUAUGAAAAGCCAUUGAUCGUUGUGAAAAAAGGGGAGAUGUUAAUGUAGCUAGGAUUUUCUCUGUUCAAGAAAUGUGUAGUAAGGGAGGAAAGGUAGGAGAACCCUGAGCAAGGGAAGCGAACACACUAAAUGAUGAGUAGACUAGCGGAGGGGAGACAAUAGACAUGAUCACCUGCAAGGAUGUCAGUGAACUCUCCAAUGUUUCGUCAUUGAACUCCAACGCCAUGAUACGCUAGGCCUGAGACCAACAAAUGAGAGAAGAGGGAGGCGGAGUAACGUGUCCCUAGUGAUCUUUUGCCCCCCGUAGUUCGUGAAACAGCCUGAGCGACAGGAUGAGAAGUUGGAAAGCCAUGAUUGAGUCAUCCCAUGGAAGGGGAUGGAGAAUGAAGUGGGAAUUGACAAUUCAAUCGGUGUGUCUUGAGUGAUGACAGUUCUGGCAAUGGAUGGGGUUUGGGUAGAAAGGCCUAGUAUGGGCCGAGGAGAAACAUUUGGAACAUGGGCUAGGGGAUAGCAUGGCAUGCAAAACCUUCGCAAGAGUGCCAUUAGCCCAAUGGAAGACCCCCUUUGAUUUGGGCAACAUUUUGGAAGGCCCAACAGGAAAAUGGCCAUUACCAAAAAUUAGCUAGAAAAAUCGACUAUCUAGCCGGAGACAAUAAAAAAUGAGUGUGGAGGGAGUAAACCAGCAGCACCUUCCACAUAUAUCAGUAGGGUAAGUAAUCCUAAUUGCACCAAUUUUGGGUGGCACCAGUCGCGUGCACCAACUCUGCCAUCUUAUACCUUGCCUCAAAAAUCAGCUUGCUCAUACCUAUGCGGCAAGGAAAUUUUGUUCCUUUUGGUGCAACCUCAGGGCACGCCUUUUCUUGCACUAGAAUAUCGCAGGCCAAAUUAAAACUCCAUACAACCUACCAAACAGAGAUAGUUGCAGCAUAUAAGUCUGGCUAGAGGCAUAUGUCUAGGUUACCAAUUAGGCUUGAAGGUGGUCAUAAAAGUAGAGUGCGCAUGAGCAUGUAUAUGAGCCUCUAUGUUUAUACUAUGUUUCAAAAAAAUAUCAAGGAAAUUUUUCAGAAAUGUUUGGUCCCAGUGAACUAAUGAAUAAUGCAUGUAAGGUACUUUGAUAUAAUAUUUGCACGAAUCAUUGCAACAUUGUAGUUGCCGCUAGGUACUUUGAUCCUUUAGCUGCCUUAUAUUGCUGUAUGCUUUAUCCAAUUUCUUCACAUUGUACUUUUUUUGGUUCAGUACUACAUGAACUUGCACAAAAAUAGGCCUCCCAUCGUCAGGAGCUCCUUCAUGAGUAUCACAGCUUAGUACCAUUAAGCCAACGGCUAUAGAAAGCCAAUGAUUCCUGUGGUUUAUACUCAGGAACUGUGUGCCCAGAACCCUGCGAGAGGAACAAACAGGAUAGAUAAAAAAGGCAACUUAGUUUUCUUGUGUUUCAAAAAUGCGUCAUUAGAUGUAAUUUGUUUUUUAUUUGGCAGGGUAGUAUCAUGUUUGUGAAUCUAUGGAUUAAUUGACAAAGUUCAAUUUGAAAUUGAACCACACCUUAAUCGUGGCGAAAGUAAGGCCAUUUUCAUAUCCUUGGGUGUACCUGAGUAGUAUAACAUGCAAAAAUAUGUGAGUAGAGCAACAUGUCCUUAAUUUCUUUCCUUGAGAACAUACAAUCAUUUGACUGAAACAAUGGAAAAUAAAUAAACCAUUUAACUGAAGAUUUCUCUUAUGAAAGAACUUUUAACUUUUGUUGGUUAUUUUGAAGAAUAAUUCAACCACUAGGAUAUUGUGAUUUGAAGAUCUUAGGAGAAAAGAGUCAAUGUGUGUUCAAAUACCCAGCAACUUGUUCAUUAACAAUCCAUUGUCGCCACGAAUCAAUGAUGCCGUAGCCUAAAGAUGCAGUCCAUGCUUCAGUCCCAGUGUGAGGUACGCACAUAUCAUGGUCACCGCUGAAACAAUUGCAAAAGAAAUAUCACAAUGAUAACCACAACUUUUCUGGGUCUAAAAAUGUAAGAGCCUAAAUCAUAUAAUUUUAUAGGUUCUUAAAGUACCUGUAAAUCAAAGCACGAUAACCCUGGCUUGUAAGGUUCUUGUGAUAAAUUAUCAUACUCCCAGCAUCAUGAUCAAAAUCUAAUUCUGUGAAUAACUGCCAGGGUCCAAUUGAACUGACCUAAUAUAUGUGCAUGAUAAACUAUGGUUAGAAGGUGGAAAGCUUUAGAAUAGGUCCAAUAAGUACAAGGUGGUUAUUUAGUGUAUGACUAUCAUACUGGUUCAGCAUGAAUCGCAGAUCUGACGUUAUCAUUGUUUAGCCAUGCCGUUGCAACUUCAUCACUCUGAAAAUUAAGAAAACAAGACAGUGAGGGUACAUAAGAAAAUGGGAUAAAAUGAAUCAUGCUUCGUUUGUGACAAAAAAAAUUACACCUCUAUAUUUCAGCGAAGAUAAAGCUGGAAGAUGUGCCUGCCUUAUUUACAUAGUAUAAUCGGAGAAGAUAAAGAUAAAUGAACUAAAUAAGUGUGUUGAAUUGCACAUAUUAGUAUUACUGUAUUACGAGUUUACGACGCUAGCUCACAUACAUAUAUGGUGAUCUAUAGUGGGAUGUUUUACACAUUGACUAAGCAUAUCUAGAUUUGCUUCAUGAAUAUAUUUUUUAUUUCUAUCUUUCAAUAUUGUGAUUGAAACUAUGGUCAAAUUUGUAAGUAAAGAGGAUGGAAGCAACCAAUGACAUCGGUAAAGAAAAUGAGAGAGUACAAAAAGAGGUAAGGAGCAAUCUCUGGAGCAAAACAUUAAUGUUAUGACAGAUAAUAGAGUUAUAGUGGGGGUGGUUAGUGUGCUUGUCCUCACCAUACAUGGAAUUCCACGGGGAACUGAUGCAGCUAGCUCCUGCCAUGAUGGAACACGCCCAUCUCUUACAGGAGCUCUCAAAGGCCAGGCCCGUCCAUGCAUUCUAUUUCUUACUGGAAGGGGCUUGCUAGUUACACCAAGAUCUUUGAAACUUGGAGGCAGUUUGUUACUUUGUGGGAUACCUUCUUUGGUGUUUGUACCGUGGUAGCAUGGCUCAAGAAUGUCAUAAAUAUUUAAUCCAUCAAGUGCCUACACAAAAACAUCAACAUAUAAUACAAAGAAUAUAGUAUUUCUUUAUUUUACUAGAUAGUGUCAGGUUUACCGUAUCGACUUUUGACAGCGCUUCGUCGCAUUUUGCACUACUAGAAUUCCAGUAACUUCCUUGACAUGCAGUGUUGGCUUCCUACAAUUUGUAUAGAAAUUAUUUUUUGAAGAUAAAGGAAUGAAACAUUCCGGCCUUCACAUUUUGUAUAGAAAUUAUGGUAAAUCGAAAGAACAUAUGUAUGUUUCAAUGGAUACACAAAGAUUUAGAAGUAUUUUGUGUAUUCAAAGGAUUUGAAUGAAGUGUUCCAAUACAAUCAAUACAACAUCAUGGUGUAAUGUAAAAAUUAUUCUAGGAUGAGGAUAUCCGUUGGGGUAUAGUCAUACUGAUGUACCUUGUAUAUACUCUCUGAAAUUAGAGCCAUUCCGUGUGCAAAUGGCACAAGAGCGUUACCAUCAAAGACGGUGUCGCAUACACCAUUGCCAACCAUGUAGCCCUAACACAAGAAUACAACAAAACUUUAAACAUUAUUAUAUAUAUUUCCUUGGUAACCAUGUUCGCCGUUCCCAUGAAGGCUGCGAUAAUAUAAUAAAAAUUACUAACCUUAAAAUUUAUAGUUGGCUUAUCUCCUUUGUGGAUUCCUGUAAAAUAAUUUGUCAGUAACAAGAAUAUCAAAAUAACUAGCAGUUUAAGGAUCAUUACUAUCCCAAAGACAAAACCUUUGACAACUUCAUGUGAAAGGGUAGGGACAUAAACUCCAGCAUAUGACUCUCCAGCUAUAUAAAAUGGAUUUUUCAAGAACUCAGGGUAGAGUUGGAACCACUGGUUAAAUGUAACGGAAAGGGAACUGAUCAGCUUUUUGUUCUGUAAAAAGAUUAUAAUUGAUAAUGAUAAAUUUACUAAUGUGCCCAACACAAAAGAACAUAUAUAUUUACCUUGAGAAGAAAAGUAUGCGAAUCAGCAGCAGUCUUAAGAUCACCAGUUUCAUAAUCUGAAACAUUCUUGGAGUAAGACAGCCCAACACCAGCCGGGGAGUCCAAGUAUAUCACACUAGACACCUACAAUGCAAGGGAAACAUCACUAUUCUGUCUCAGUUUAGAGCUUGAACACCAGAUAAUUUAUCCUUAGGACUAACAGAAAUGUCCAACCUUAGACCAGCUAUAAGGGUUGAGAUGAAGCUUUGGCAAGCUUCCAGCUGACCCUCCUGCCUCAAAGUUGAAUGGUCCUGGACCCCAAAAAAACACUCAUUAAUUGGGAUGAAAGAUGUUAGAGUGUAUCAGGCAUCUCCAGUUUGAGUUAGUUCCUUUGCUUGUUGUCAUAAGUUGAGAUUCAGGUUCCAUGGCCAUAAACUCUAUUAUUUUGCUACACAAUGCCCUUGAUAUGCUCAUGCCACUAAUUAUACAUCCUCUAUUGCACAACAGUGCCCCCCCCAACGGCCUUGUAGCAUGCCUCCCCCCAAUGGCGGAACCAUGAUCUUAAGUAGAGAGGGAGGCGUGCAAACACAGUGACUUCAUGGGUCAGCAUGUUGCUUGAGGGUGCAUGCAGCUUGGGUCAGAAUUGUACCAUGCCUGAGCAGUGAGCACCUACCAACUGCUCCAUAGUGUUUUAUUAAUUUACCUCUAGUUGUCGUGUUGGCCGAAGCUUUGCAUACACUAAUUCCCUUCAGUAUCAAGAAUGGAUAGUAGUUUGUUGUUGACUCGUCAAGACCUGAAUGUGGUGCCUAGACUUUGAAUGUGGGAGAGUGGAGACAACCUAGAGACCGAUAGAACCAUGAUAUGAAGAGGACUUGCAAUGGCGGGGUUCCAAAUAUUUUGGCGUGGCCCUGCUGGCCACCCCUCCGCCACUACCCCCCAACACCCACCCACCCAAGAUCACCCAGGAUAAUCUUGGCCAUGGACAACAGGUCCACCAUACCUAGGCCUCUCGCCACCAGACGUGUCGAAUGAUCACCCUAGAGAGUCUUUUCCUGAUCAGAUAACUAGGGUUUUCUCUCCCACUAAUCAUUGAAUAGGGUUUCUUAUUGUUUUCCCGGUCUAACAUCAUUUUAGUUCUGAAGCCCUCAUCUUUGCAUGCCUCUACAUUGACAUCUGCUUCAACUACAUUAUUGGCCACCUCUAGCCACUGUUCACAUAAACGGCCGUUUAGACCAUUUAAACGUUGUGUAAACGCUACACAGUGGUACAUCGUUUCCGUUUAAUCAGCUAUUUAGUCCGUUUAACUGACCAUUUAGCCCGUUUAAUGGGUUGUUUAGCCCGAAUAAUGGCUAAAUGGCAGGUGACUGAUUGUUAACUGUUUAGCGUUUAGGAAAAACAUUGCCUCUAGCACAUCACUCAAUGCUAGCUCAUCCUUGUCUCCUUUGUCAUCAAGUACUACACACCUCCUCUCUCCAAAUGCUACUGCAUCUUAUUGCCAUGCCGCAUCAUCGUCGCCAUUAAUGGUACAUAUUCUUUGCAAUUGCAUCUUAAUUGACUUAUUCCAUGCAAUUUCAUCUUAAUUGACACAAACUACAUAUAUGGGCUAUGACAUUGUGCACAUCACAUGCAAUGUGUUUGGUAGGAUGUUCAUGUUCUUCACAUUGAGCAUCACUAUCAUGGCAUCCAAAAUACCAGGCCUUGCAACAAAUCACCUAGACCUACCUCCUCACUUUGUCCAGUACAACCUCCUUGCUAUUCCUUGCCCAUUUCAUCUACUCCAACAACCAUGGACUGCAUUGGUAUCUUCUACCCUUCCAUUUUUACACUACACUCAUCCUGGAGGCUUUCUCCGCUAGUACUUUAGAUGUUGAUGCAUGGUUGAGAAUCUUCCUCUAGUACAUCUAGUAUUGGCAACACAGUACCAACAGGUGCCAUUAUCCAUAACACAAUUGUAGGCAUGGCAAACCUAGUGCAUACCUCAUCCAUGGUGACAUUGGCUACACCCUUGGCAUCAACUCUCCCUCAAUGGCUGCCUCAAUGCAUCACAUUUAUUAAUGGUGACAUCUCAUAUGAACCACCAUGCCCAUGGAAACACCUUGGGUAUCCAAGGCUUCUUGUGUGGCCAACUCAUCUUUGAAAACUUUGACAUCUCUGUUGACCACAACUAUCAUACACAUGACAUGCAUCCUCGAGAACAUCAACAUACGCAUAAAGUCCUAUCAUGAUAUUGCCCUGCUUGAGUAACAUUUUAGCUUCACUGCAUCCAACAUCUACGAUGCAUGGACCAUUAUGACUGCAAGGGGUGAUAACUCUUCGAGUUACAACCUUAGGCUUGUAUGUGACAUUCCCACUAUGAAUGUUGCGAAAAUGUUAUAUAUUUAAGCUUAGGCUCUCACUUAUUGCAUGAUCCAAGGGCCUAUAUAGGACUUAGUAUGAGAGGUAGAGUUGUGUGCUCUUUGCAUGCUGGAGCCUUAUAGUGACUCACCGGCCAUGUCAACGACAAGGAAACCCUUUGAUGACGAAGCGCCACAGUGUACUGCGUCAAUGUGAUUGGGAGACUAGGGCAUCCCAAAGGUGAGGGUCUCAUGGAUGAGAGCAUAUUCGAGAUCUCUAAUAUUGGUAACGCCACUUCUUGGAAGUUUGCUCUUUGCUCACUUGAUAUUUACUUACGUCGCUUAUGUUUCAUGUGUUUAUGUGUCUUCUACCUUUCUAUAUUAAUUGGGAUAGAUGAUAUGAUUAGCUAUAUAUAGGUUGCAGAACUCUUUGUGAAUGGGUAGGUAGAGACACUAGAUAAUUUCUAGGUGCACUUCUUGCUAGUUAGUACUCCCUUCAUAUACGUAAAGAAACUCGUGUAGAACAACGACACGGUCUUCAAAAUCUAACUUUGACUCCUUGUUAUAUAAAAUAUUUAUCAAAAAGUGGUAUAUGUAUAUUUAUAUGUAAGUAUUUUUCAAGACAAAUGUAUUCCUAUAUUUUUACAUUUCCAAACUCAACAACUUAAAAGUUAUUUAUGAUUUAUAUUCUCAAUGUUUGAUCCAAACCUUUUUCAAGAUGACUUUCUUUAUGGGUAUGGAUGAAGUGGUUAUUAUCUAGCAUAAAUCGUGUUGGAGCACUGGGUUAACUUUUUUUAUUAGUGAUCCAAUUUACUAGUCCUCUCUUGGGUCCCGUGCGCUAAGACACUACUCAUAAGAGCGCUAAAUUCUUUACAAAGAUAAGAUAAGAAUACAAAUAUUGAACAUAUAUAUCAAAGGAACACUAAAAAGAUAUGAAGUGUAUCAAAUUAUAAGCACCCAAGCUUUUCUCUAUGCUUUGGAAAAGGAAUUUUUUGCCCAAAUUAUGUCUAAAUUCGGGACAUUUUUGCAUUGGUUUUCUUCGUAUUCCAUCUGGUAUACCCUUUUCCCUUCUCUACCUUUUUUCGUCACUUGUUAUAGCCUCUAGAAAUAUCUAUAUCGCCAUAACCCCGCAUUUCUCCUGUCUUGUGGCUCCUGCCGGAUUUGUCAUCUGCCAGGCUAACUACUCUCAAGAUGGUUGAUGCCUUAGUUGAACCAAUAAUAUUUAUUUCAAGAUCCCUAUAUAAAACCGCAUGUUCCAAAUCCGCGGACUUAUCCCACGUCCAUAUUCUACAUAACUCUGCACGUCAGGCAAAUUUGGUCUCUUCCACUUCACAGCCCACUCCAUCCAUGAAAGAAAGUUUGAUCCCCAAAACGCUCAAUUUAUUCUACAUCUUUAUUAGAUUCCAUACUCUAACAAGUUGGUUGGAAAAAAAAGUUGCAUGGUGAGGAAAGCGGGAAAGAAAAAUGCGAUGGAGAGAUGUCAAAUACAGACAAUACUAGUAGCUUGUAGAGAAUAUCAUGAUACUAUAUGUAACACCCAAAAUUUUAAUUUCAAUUAAUAGGAAUUAAAUUAAUUUAUUUAAGUAUUUUUGUGAACAUUUAAUUUAGUGAAUAAAUAUUUUUGAGGAAAAUAAAAUUUAUCAUAGGUUUAGUAACCUUGAUGGUGCAUUCAUGCUCGAGCAUAUUUUAUGUGUUGCUUGAUUGUUCUUGGGUAGAAAUAAUAUGUGCACAAAAUUCUGUUUAGAAAAUAUUAAAAAAAAACCCUGGCCAGCCCUCCCCUCGGCCUGGUGGCCUGCUGGCUGAGGCCCAUUUCCCUCUCCCACCCCGUAGCUCAGUUUUUCCCCCUUGACCUCCUUCCCCUCCCCGGCCCGUUAGCGCGGCCCAGUGCCCUCCCCUUUCCCCUUUGAGCUCGGCCCGCGCACCUUCUCUCCCUGGCCGGCUGACAGGCGGGCCCCUUCUGGCAGCGCUCGUCUCCCUCCUCUCGCCGUGGGCGAGUAGGACUCGACCGAGAGUCUGUCUCCGAUUUCCAUCCCGAGAUCGGCAGGAUUGCUCUUGCCUUUUUUGUGCCAACCGAGACCCUAUAAGACCCCUAGCUUUGCUCCACGCAUCGUCUUUCCCACCCGCGCCACGUAAGCCAAGCCCUAGUCGGCCGCAACGCACGGUUCGAAUCUUGCCAAGGUUGGAAGUGAGCUGCCGCACGCCGCGAGCCAUUCCAUGGCGCCGCCGCGGGAGCUCCACUCCGGCCGGACCGCCGCCCGACACCCUGGACGCGCCCGAUGCCGUCCGUUUGAAGAUCGACGGCCAGGAAACGAAGAUACCCUUUCGGCUGACAAAAUUCUUUAAGAGUCCCUGAACUUUUCUGUUUUUACUCCGCGGUCCUUGGCGCACUGCACAAGAUUACGCUUUCCAACUGCGAAAGCGUACUCCCCGGUUGAGAUCAAAGGCGUUUUCAGCUAUUUACAGUUUUGUCACUGAACUUAAAUUGCUUAUAAAAUACUCAUUUUAACUCCGUUUUUGUCCAUUCAAAUUGCGUUAGGUUCGCGAUUACGAGCUCUACAUGUUAGAAGUAUUAGUUUACUGUUUUGAAACAUUUAAAUUCUGCAGUAGCAUUUAAUUAAUUAUUUCUCUAUAGGAAAUCUUGGAAAAUUCAUAUCUUCUCCGUUUUAAUUCCGAUUUUCGUGAACUUUACGUUUGUGUGUUCGUAGCGCUGCGUAGAAUAUUUUCAUAAACUUUUAUAUUUGUUUUACCACUGUUUAGUGUAAUGUUCUAAUUAUAACUUGUUUGCUUCGUGUAUGAUUGUCUACAUUGGAUUUUGGAUUGCGUGUUGUUGAUUGAUGUUUGGGAAUAGACGGUGAGCCGUACGUUGGUGAUCAAGACCAAGCUUUUGAAGACCAGCAGGCUCAGGAGAGCUUUGAGCAAGGCAAGUAUAAUUUGGGAUCAUCCUUGUUACCUAUUCACUUAUAACUAUACAUAUAUGUCAUAUGCAUGCUAUCCCCUUGUCGACCUUAGCAAAAUCAUAGAUGAUUGUUACCUGGAUUCCUUGUUACCUACUUGAUAUGCAUUUGGUGUAGAUGUGCUAGUGCUUGAUAUAAUCCAUGAUCUUGUAAGAUUGUUAAUAACUAUGCAAUGAACGUUAAAAGAUGACAAAUAACUAUAUGAGAUCUUGUCUGUAAGUGAUCACCGAGACAACAGUGCAACCAUGAGGGCUAUAAUGGCUCUGGCUUUAGCUCAGUAUGAAGACCUUUUCUAGCUUGUUAGAGGUUACCCAAAAGGGCGGAGGGGCUGAACCGUUUUUGGUAUAGUGUGGCCUCUGUCUGUAUGUGUAUAGGCUGCGCGUCAUUGUGCCAUCGAAAGGGGGGCUCUAUAUCUGCGCAUCAAGGAAACCUUGCGGUUAGACGAACUUUUGAAAGGUUUCAUAGUGAUCCCUGCCGACCUUCCUAGGAAGGGAGUUAAGAGAUUAGCUACCUCGGGCAAAAGGGUAAAUCAUGACUCAUAGGUAAAGAUGUACGACCUCUAGCCGUGCUCACGGUUAUGAGCGGCCUUGGGGUUCUUGCUGCGAUGACGAUGAGCUUCUUAAGUUGUUAUGUUCAUUUGAUUAUCGUUUAUGCUAAGAAUUAAUUAUGCUUACACUUGAUCAUGUGAUUAAUGAAUUAUUUCUACUACCUUGACAUUUGCUAUUUAAUUAUGAAUAUGCUAUCCACUAUUAAAAGCUAAAUGCAGUCAAACCAGUGUCAGCUAUUUGAGCCUCAUGAACCACUGGUUAUACUUGUUGAGUACGAUAUGUGCUCACUCUUGCAAUUUUCCAACACCCCAGUUUAUGCUAAUGAUGAUGAUUGGAACGAGGAUUAUCGCUAUGAGUACUAGGUUUGGAGUCAAUCAGUCAACAGUGUCCCUAUGUGGAGCUUCCGUCGAGAGCGUUGUUUACUUUAUGCUAUUAUUUUUGUAUGAGACUAUGUGAUAUCUUAUAUUCCGCUAUGUAAUAAACACUGCAACGGUACAUUUGAGAUUUGUCUACUUAUGUGUGCGACUGUUUCUGGGGCACAUAUGAGUCUUUUAUGCAUCUAUCCGAUCCAGUACGUCGUCCGGCUGCUUUGUGCGAUGCCGAUGCCUACUUUUCUUCUACUCCUAGAAAGCAAUAGCGCACCACCGCUUUGUGCGUCGUCCAGCUGCUGUCAUCGGCACCCCACCACCGCUACCUUCUUCCUCGCCUUUUCUAGCUCGAUUCCGUCCACAGCACGAACGAACGACGACAUGCCACAAGCAACCACGACGAUUGGGCAAAGAAAAACUCGUGACGACGACACGCACACGACAACCAGGCCACCGGUCGUCGUCGUGUGCAUGUCGUCGACGACGGAUCGAUCAGACGCAACUAGUACUACGCACCGUGCUCGUAGACGAAGCCGUCGAAGCUGGAGCAGCCAGGCCCGCCGUUGAGCCACAGAACGACGGGGUCCUUGGCAGGGUCACGCUCCGACUCCACCAGGUAGUAGAAGAGCCUCCUACCGUGCGCCUCGUCCACCGUCACGUACCCGGCGUAGUGCUUCGACGGCAGCUGCGCGCCGCCGCCCGACGCGUACCCCGGGACGCUCGUCACCAGCGCACCCGGCGGCGCGGCGUGGCAGCAGCGAGGGAAAAAGGCCGAGGACACCACUACUACUACCACCAGCAGCAGCAGCGGCGGCGGGAGUGGUAGAGGAGCAGCGGUAGAGCCGCCGCGUGCCAUUGCUGCGAGAGUGUGUGGGAGCUCGGUGCGCGCGGAGCUAGGAGUGACGAUUCUGUGCCCUGACCGGAAUGGAUGGAGCGCGUUUAAAUACAGAAGAUGAGC